GAUGAAGAACGCAGUGAAAUGCGAUAAGUAGUGUGAAUUGCAGAAUUCAGUGAAUCAUCGAAUCUUUGAACGCACAUUGCGCCCUUUGGUAUUCCUUAGGGCAUGCCUGUUCGAGCGUCAUUUAAACCUUCAAGCUAAGCUUGGUGUUGGGUGACUGUCCGCUUCACGGCGGACUCGCCUCAAAAUUAUUGGCGGCCGGUACAUUGGCUUCGAGCGCAGCAGAAACGCGAACUCGGGCCCGUCGUAUUGGCUCCCAGAAGCUAUCUUCACAAUUUUGACCUCGGAUCAGGUAGGGAUACCCGCUGAACUUAAGCAUAUCAAUAGCGGAGGA
rnacentral:misc_RNA from 1 species